rnacentral:pre_miRNA from 1 species
CGGCACGUCAAAGUGGUGGGUGAUUUGUCGACUUGUGCUCAUAUCACAGCCAGCUUUGAUGUGCUGUA